rnacentral:rRNA from 1 species
UACGUAGGGUGCAAGCGUUAAUCGGAAUUACUGGGCGUAAAGCGUGCACAGGCGGUUAUGCAAGACAGAUGUGAAAUCCCCGGGCUUAACCUGGGAACCGCAUUUGUGACUGCAUAGCUGGAGUACGGCAGAGGGGGAUGGAAUUCCGCGUGUAGCAGUGAAAUGCGUAGAUAUGCGGAGGAACACCGAUGGCGAAGGCAGUCCCCUGGGCCUGUACUGACGCUCAUGCACGAAAGCGUGGGGAGCAAACAGGG